CAGCUAUUAAUGAAAUGCACUUGGUGUUAAUCGAAUUUUUUUUAACUUUAUGGGAGGGACACACACACACACACACACACACACACACACUCACUCACAAAUUAUGAAAAGCCUGCAAAAGAUCGAAGAGUGAAAACUAUUGUUGGACCGAGUUGGUUUUUACCUCAACAGCGCCACCUUUCGGCAAAGGUCAGUUGAAAUUGAUCCGUGUCCAGUUUUGUUGAAGUGCAAAGAAGCUGUUUUCCCAAAGUGGGAGGAGGAAAGAGGCCCAGAAAGUUAGAUGGACCUUCGUGGUAGAGCUCAACCUUUUAAGAAAUGGGACGAAGAAAGUGCUAGCAAAUCCCGGAAUCAUAUUUUUCCUACUGUCUUGUCCCCCUUCACUGUUAAAAAAAAGAGGCGAGGGCAACUGCUGCCCUGCGGGUGGGAUUCUGGCUGAGAGACCUUUGCAAAUCAGAUCCCAGGUAACUGGGCCCCAAACUCUCUAAAAGUGGCAGGAUGGAUUUUCCAUGGGCUUUAUGGCAAUAUCAAUAGAAUUAAAGUUACUUGUAAUUCAGUGAUAAAUGGGAUGUCUCUAGUAAGUAAGAUUAAGUACAGUGCUUUAAAGUUGUUUAUCUGAAAAGUAAUUCUCAGAAAACCUGACUUCUGACACUUGGUCAUAUAUUAAGCCAGCGUCUUGAACAUUGCACUUCAGAAUAGUCUUACCCACCAGGUCGCAUACUUCACUAUUUAUAAUGAGACUUAGUGUCACUCCCCUGCUUCAUACACCAGAUUAACCCUGUGUUAAUUUCUCUGAUCUUGGCAGCCUUCGGUUCCAGCAAAUUCAGGAAUCCCUACUGGGAGACCUCCCAGAAGAUUUGUAGGGACAUCCUCAUCCUAAAAGGGCAGCACUGUUGGUAUUUUCCUUACAAGCCUGCUACAGAGGAGUUGUUUAUAAGGGUAGUUUGGGUUUGAGGGAAUGCUUUGUUAGGGUGGAAUGAACUGGGUUUAGUCCCAGUAUGGGAAGAAAGAGUGAAGAUUCUAUCAAUAUUUAUGUCAUCUAAGAUAAUUCCCUUGCUUUCCUCCUCUGACAGUAUUUUACCUACUAAUGAAGUUAAAGGAUUUCAGUUUAUGUAUUCAGAGGAAAAUCCACUGCUUAAAUUUCACAAACAUUAUGGUGUUCAGCAUUGUUCAUGAUGUCCAAAGUUUGUGUGUGUGUGUGUGUGUGUGUGUUAAAUGUAGAUUUAUGUGUCCUUGGGAAGAAUUAAUUAUUUUUUGUUUAUGAUAAUUUUUAAAACUCCUUCUGCAUCAUGUUUUUGUUAAAAGCUAUAAAGUAUGAUCCCUGCCUCUCAAAAUAAAAGUAUUUUUGACCAGGAACCCUGAAGCUGCCACAUUUAUAAAUAAACAUUUUAUAAACAGAAUUCACUAAUGACUAAGACCAUGCCAUAGAGUUUCGUGGCCACAUACCUAAUUGUUGCAAUUAUAUAUCAUUUCUAGAAAUUAAAUGCCCAUGUUUGGGCAGCUAAAUGUAUUAUUAUCUGCACAUUUUUUAUGGUUUAUUUCUGUUCACCACUGUUGAGCCGUGGUAUUUUUCUCCCUUUUAUAGUCUCCCAUUUUCUUUUGAAAAAAGAGGAUGAGAAUUAUGUUUUAGAUGUGUAUCAAGAGUGCUCUCAGGCUUGUAACUUAAUUCUCAUUUUUGUCCUUUUUCCUUUAUUAUUUAGUGAUUCACAGGGGUGUCUAAACAUUUACAGUUCUCUGUUAGCAGCAUUUCUUUUAUAACAAUUGAGCAAUCUCAUUUUAAUUAGUACUAUUCAGGUUUCUGAUUCUCUACAAUUACAUCAGGCCACGUUUCUUUCGACUUCUUUUCUAACAUUGUUUGUUUCACUUCCAUCCAAGCCAAUCUAAUCCAAAUACAAUAUGAACUGUGUUUUCUUACUGCUUAAUAUCCCCUCGCUUUAUAUGCUAUAGCAAUCUCUGUAGAACAAUAUAGAGUAAUUUAGAAACCAUGAGUUUGUCAUUAUUGACCAAUUCAAACCAGUAGCAUUAAAGUUUCUGAAAGCAAUGAGUAUUUAUAGAAAAUUCUGAGGGGGAGGAGGGCAUGGGUCGAAUCACGUAGAAGAUUUCGAAACAGUAGCCUCAAAAACUCAUUUGUAGUUUCAUGUCACUACAUACAUAACAACUUCAUGCAAAAGAGGGAGAAAAGCCCUUCAUGUCUACAUUACAAAGAUUAAAAGUUAACAGGAAGGUAUUUUUCCUGAUUGUGAGUUAUAGCAACUCAAAUAUAUCAUGUUGCCUCAGACGUACAGAAUCUGAAAAGAAACAGGAUGCAUUCAGAAUCGCGUCUGAACUCUUUGUUUAUCUGGGAGCUGGUUUUAUGUACAGAACUAAGCAGUGUCCACUAAAUUUUACUAUGAAACCAACUAAAUGGAUUUGAGAAAGUGUUCCUGAGAGUAGUUGCAGGAUAAGGCAGGAGUACAUUGUGCUUAGGUCUAGUGUUAGAUAAAUCCUUUUAACAGUCUUCAGUUAGCAGGGUAAGUAAAUCACAAAUCACUGUUAGCAGAUUCAUGGAAGAAAAUUAAUAGAAUCAGACGAGAUAAUCUGAUAAGGGUAAAAUUGCCGAGGGAAGUCUCUAUUGGCGAAUGUGAAACAACAGUGUGAUUACCAGGAGUCGUUAUGAAUAGGUGAAUUAUGUGCUAAAUAAUCAUCAGAGUAAUUCAGCAUUUAUUAAUUCUUUUCUCUUUAAGCAAUUCACAGUUGUAAGUUAAAGCCUCUCUCUCUCUUUGAAGACAAAUCUUUUAUAAUUUUUAUUAGAGGUAAUUUAUUAUUUGCAUUACCUGUAUUUACUUCAUAAUUGAACAUUUUGCAUUCAAAUUUAUGUAAUGCAUUAUGCUUGAGAAUAUAUUUCUGCCUGAUUAGCAUAAAUAGUCACUUACCUCAUGAAUUACUAACAAAGUUUAUCUUAAAAUAUAGGUUUUUUUAUUAAGUGGAACACAAACAUAUGUACAAUAAAUUCUGAUUUUUCCAGUGCCGUUAGAGAACAACUCAUGUUCGGUUACAGAGAAGCAAGGGGUGGGAUAGUGGGGAGAAAGAAAAAUAGUCAGACGAGACUUAUAGUUCCUUCCCAAGGGUGUUGCUCAGGUGGGGACCGUGGAGAGGGGUAGGGAGGAAGGACAGAAGGGGCAGCUCGGCUCUUCAGACACAGGAUUAUUUAUUGGAUGAUCUUGACUCUAAAUGAGGAGUCCAAAAGACAAACAAAAGACAAUUGGUGAUCUCUACUCUGUGGAGGGCCAGGGUAGACAGUCAAUAGGAUUGAUGGUGUUUGGGGAUAUUUUAUUAUUUUUAUUUUUAUUUUUUUGGUUAUUCUCAGGGUUCUUCCUUAAAACACGAUUCACACAAUUUCAUGAAAUACUUGUUUUGCACAAGAGACGCGAACAAUCCAGAUGUUUUCUGGGAAGGUGUGCCGGUUUUGUCAGCUCUCUUUCCUUGCUUCACCCACAGACACCCAGCAGGCACUGGGAGAUAGUAAGUGUCUGCUGAAUAAAUAUCUGUGGGGACACAGGGACAUUGGAGCCAAAGGACUUUUUCUGGUUUUAAGCAAGGGAUAGAGAUGAAAAAUGAUGGGCCCUAUUUCCCCACUCUGGCCACUCCAACCCUGCAUUUCCAUGCUCGGCUCUCUUUCCCUUUCAGUUUUUCAGGGGAAGGCGCACCCUUAGGUUUUUGUUCCUUCAAUUAGGGGCUGCUUAUGAUUCCCUCUUCCCUUGUCACCCCUUUGGAUCCUAUUCACAGCUUACACCAGUGAGGGAAUCUGUCACCAAAGCAUUCAGCGCUUCGAAGAAUUUUAUUGUGUACUCAGAGUUGAUUAAAAAAAAAAAAGUAGAGAUCUAAAAAAAGUGGGGGGGACCUGAUAGCCGAACAAUCUUUCUGUGUGUUGUGUCUUCACGCAUGAUAACUGGAGGAUCGCUCCGAAGUGGUGCUUGCUCUGUGAGUUUGCUUGCCUGCCUUCCUGCUCCUGGUGAUGUGGCGAUUCGAACCUCCUGUUCUAGAAGCUUUUAGCAGCUGUCCCACUUGGGAAAGAAGUUAUAGAAAAUACAGGGCAAACUUAAAUUCUCCCGUGAUGACAGGGGAGGUCUAUGGAUGCAGGUGGUUUCUGAAUCUGUCUGUUUCUGAAUUAACUUGUCUGGGGCCUGAGACCAGAGGUCCCUUAUAGCCCAGUCUUAUGUCUUAGUUCUUGGUCGCACAUGAGCGUGGCUGAGCUUUCUCCCGUGUUGUUCUUUGUCAUGAAAAUCUUGCACAGGCCCAGCCACAGCCUCAGAACAUCGGCCUUCCCAACCGUGUUCCUGAUCUAACCAAGAAUGAAAAUUUGACUAACAGCUCUGCCUACCCAAAAUAAAAAUUCAAGUCACACUUAUAGACCUUCUGAUAGUAUUGUUAUUUAGGAAUUUUAUAAUAGUGAGACAUGUUCUUUGUUGAAUAUAAAUAUCAGGACAAGAUAGCAAAAGGAGGCCAUCAAACCAAAGAACAGCUGUUCCUCAUCUCUACCCAGCACCUGUCCUUGGUCUCAGGAGUGACCAUCUGAAACUGAUGGGGUGCACACGUUUGCUGUUUUAUAACAGAAUGGAGUCUAAGCAUGUGCAUGGUUCGGAACGCAUCUGCCUGGAUCUCAGGAAAAAGCGUUUGGAGUGCUUAUCUGGUUUUUGGUGGAUUUCAUCUAAUGGAAUCUCAUGGUGUAUGUGUGUGUGUGUGUGUAGGGGGUGGAUAUUUAGAGGCCUGACUGUAGCACUCUCCUUUCAACCAAUGUACAAGUUUGAAUCUGUUUUGCCAGCCCUUGGUAGGUGAGUUGGCAGCAUGCAGGGCUGACUUCACCAGUGGCACAGCAGAGACAGUGGCCCAUGGGACUGCUGUGGGCACCCAGAGACAUUUUGAUUACUUUUAAAACCAGAAAAAAAGAAAAUAUAAUGUAGCAUGGAUUACAUUCAUCAUACCAAUGCAGUCAUAAAACAUAAUUAUAUAUACAUAUAUAUACCUAUGUAUAUAUGUAUAUAUAUGUACAAGGGGCCCAUGGAAGCCAAAGUCCAGAACACACAGAAGUACUUGCCUGAUUCUAACAGCAUUUUCUUGGUCACCUCCAGUGACAGCUCACUACCUGCCAGUUUUACCUGUACUCUCCAUUUGUUUAUUUGUUUUAGCAUGCGGUCUUACCCCUUCGUGUAGAUGUUAGUCCUAUUUUAUAUGCUCAAGAGGCCACACACUCAUGGGAACCGAAUGGGCCACAGGGUCUUUGGGAAGUUGAAAAGAGCCAGUAGGAUGCCCUUUCCCUCCCUUCUGUUUCUCCUGCUAAACAGAGUCAGUGACUUUGGCAUGUCCAGCCAGGUCUGCUUUCUUUCCAGCACCCUGCCUCCUGGCCACUAGUUCCCAGAGAGGCUGGCUUGGCCACUGCCAUGCUCCUCCCAGGAUUCAGGUCCCAUAGCUAAGCCCGGGUGCCCAGGUGUGAUCCUCUCAUCACACAGAGAGCAUGUCUGCCUCCUUGAGCUGCAGUACGUCUGCUCCUGAUGCUUCUAAAUCCCUGAGCCUCUCCAGACACACAGCACCCGGAGCUCAGUGCUGCGCAGUGGAUGUAAACUCUGGGCCUUUUCUCCUCCUAUUUCCUCCAUCCUGGAUUUGUGAACUUACCGUUUGGAACCCAAGCACAGAAAUGUACAAUGAUCUCCAGUAGAUUUAAUUUCAUUUGAUUCAGCCUGAUCCUUGCUUGUCUAUCUCUCUUUGGAUCCAGAAGGUGCUAUUCACUGGUUUUACUUUGCUUCCCAGUUUUGCGCCAGCUGAAAAGCAAUGGAUAUGCUUUUUGUAAGAUGAACCUGUCUUACCCGGGUCCCUCCUCCGUAGAUUGGGAAAUGGUCAGGAUUAGAGACUGGGCCUGGGAAGUGUCUCACACAGUACGGGGCCACAGAGGAGCUGGCCAUCUCCUGCAUCCCUACCAUCCCUCUGGGUUGUGGAUGACAACACUGGAAGUGACCACCCCUCUCAACCCCCAGUGAUCACACAAAGUGACCCACCAGGACAUUCAAGCCUGUCGAUGGAUAUUUUAAAUGGAGACAGCCUACUUGGUAAUUGGGAUAAUUUUAAACUAAAUUUCCCCAUCUGGAUAUCCUGCACAUAUCUUUCUAAUGAAUUCUGAAAUAACUUCACUUUUCCGUAGGGUGGGCAGAGCUCUCUGUUGAACAGGCUGGCUUCCUGGAUAACUGUGUCCCUGUUGAACCUGACUUUGUCUUUGUAAACCCUUUGCCCUGUCAAAAUGCACAUAACAGUUGCCCAAAGUUGGGACCUCAGAGACUGAUAAAAAAUAGAUAAAACCUAAAAAAAAAAAACUCAACAGAAAGGUUCUGUGUACGUAUAAAAGCAAAUUUGAGCUCUGAUUCUUUCCUCUGUGGUUUUUCUCUGGUUUAGAUCACCAACUUCCCUGCCAUUUCCUGAUGCCCAUUUUGAGGCCAAGAAGCUCGGAGGCAUUUCCUGGAACAGAAAAGUUCAGAGUUUCAAGUGUCCACCUUUGAGCUUAGCUAGUCCCCCUGGUCUCUCUUGAAGGGACAUAAAAGUGCAAGCUUUUGCAAAAUCUCCCCUCCGAGGUCCACCUGGCCCCCUUUCAGAGAGACCUGGGAAUGACAGUGGGAAGCAGCCCAUGAGUUAUGUAUGAUGGGCUGUCUGUGUCCUGCCUGAGCGAGCUCAGCUCUCGCUGGUUCACGCAGCCCAGGAUCCUGAGGGCUCAGGAGGGAGGAUGGGAACCCUUUGGGGAAGCAUCCCUGACUCGUGAUUCUGCGAAGAGCUGCUGAUUGGAGAUGAGGCUCAGGGCUGUCGCAGGGAGGCUCGCUCUGGUAGAUGGGGCUGGGAAAUGGAGCCAGCCGGAGGUGGCAGGCUCGGAGCUUGGCACCCAGAUCUGCUGCUUCCCCUCUGCCCUCAGCGAAGCCCUUUACCAUCUUCCUCCAACUUAUUUUUCAGGCUGUAAUUGUACCAAACUGCAUGAAGGGGGGAAAAAUCCUGGCCCCCAUAGAGGGGCCAGGGAAGCGCCAUUCAGCCCUUCAACUCUGAAUGUGAAGCAGGUGAACAGGGAGCCACACCCACAGACACAGACCCACACUGCCCUGCUGGGUUUCACUGCCAACCAUGGGUCACAAUGGCAAAGUCAGAACAUCUUCAAGGUCAAAAUGACAGAGCCAGCAAAGCAGGGUCCGAAGGACAAGGUCAAAUCCUUUGCAUCUUCAGAGAUGAUACUGGUUUAGGUAGAAAUUAUUUAGGGCCUUUGGUGGCAGCACAGUGAGGAGAAUGUUGUAGAUUUCUCAAGGUCAUCUGACAGGUACCUCUCACAUGCCAGAUAUGCCUUGCUUUGGCUCCAGGCCAACAAGUGUGUGAGUCCUGCUCCAUCCCAGGUGUAGAUCUUGGGCAGGUGAGCUGACCUUGGUGGGCCACAGGUGGAGGGGACUUUGGUGAUGGGUUGUGCAUGCGUACUAGAUAGUGGCACAGUGCCUGCCCCAUGGGGAACAUUCACAAAAGGAUGUGCCAGCAACUGAGCAGAUGUUCUGUAUACAUUGUUUCCCAGGGUGGGGUCCUGGGCAAACUAGGAGUGGGUUAUUGCUCUCCCCUUCUAUUGUUUAUACUCCCACCUUCAAGCUGCUCCCCCCUCAGCCUGGCCUCUCGCUUUCCCUCCCCCGACUCAGCAGGAUUUUGCUCACCUGGAAUUCCACCAUCUCCCACGUUCCCUGCCCUCCGUGGAGGCAUGUUAGCCCCUCACCUCUCAUGUGUGCCUUGGAGCUUGAACACGCCCUCUCCUCUCUCCAGGUCCUUUACCUGCUUGGCCCACAGUAGGUGCUCAACACGUGUUUAUCCAGUGGAGAUGACUGAACAUGUGCUCAGAUUCCUUGUCAGUUUUUCAAUUCUAACUCACACAGGGGAGCUGGCGAAAUGCCCCAGAAAGCACGUCUGUGAUGGGGGCAGGGUGGACGGCCCCUCCUUGCAACACAACGGCUCCUACGUCCACUUCUCACUAAUCCGAUUGGCCCAUCCCUCAGCUACCAGGAUGCUCAUCUGGUUCAUUGCUUCGCCUCUAUCUUUCCAAGAUAGAACUGGGUGGAAAACGAUAAAUGUUCCUGAAUGAGCUUUGGGAUGCAGGGAGGGAUGGGAUUAAGUCCCCGGGAGUAAGCAAGGUGUCUACUGCAGAUCUUCCAGCUGCUGUCAAGAGGGCUGGCUCCAGCUUUGUGCCACAGGUGCCUCCCCAGGGCUUCAAAGCACAGGGACACUGGUUUGUAAUCCUCAGAUAACAAUGCAAGGCCCGCCCCAUUUCCACAUGCCCCAAUCCUGCCCAUUCCUCAAGGCACAGCUCCCACGCCCAUAGCACCCAGUAGGCAUUUAAUGAUGCCCCUGGUUCCAGAAGCCCUCCCUGGCUCCUGCCUUUUCUUUGGGGUCCCCUCAGUAGCUGCUCAGCUCCCCCUAGGGAGCCCCCUGGUAUAGCUUUGGGAAGUGGUACAGUGCGCCAGAGAGGCCGGGCCAUGAGUGACCAGCUUGGUGACCUGAGGAGUCCUCCAUGUGCUUCCACACUCAGUGCCUCCAUCUACACAAAGCCAUGCCACUCGGCUCUCUCUGGGUCGCAGGUGAAAAAACAUUGACCUAAACUGGUUUAAGCAAAAAGGAAACAUUGGCUCACAUGAGCAAAAUCUCCAGAGACAGAGCUGGUGUCAGGCCUGGCAGGACAGGGGUCAUUUGGUGUCCUUGGAACUGGCUUUCUAUGUCACCUUCAGCCAGGACUUCCCAUGGAAGCAGGAAGGCUGGGUCAACUGGAGCCCUAACUCCUUCCAAGCUGAGUCCCCAGUAGGCUACACUGGAGUCACCGUUUGGGUCACAUCGGAAUGGCUCAUUUGAAGGGUUAUAUGCCCACCCUGAGCCAACCCCUAUGGCAAAGUUAUGAAAUAUGUGAUUGGCUCAGACAUGGGGUGGAACAGGGGCCUAGGAAAUGCUCUGAGCCUCUGUAUAGAGGAGCUGUCUCCCUUGGUGACAUUGUGGAGCCUGCCACCAAAUCCUAAGAACCAGCAGGUACCUGAAACUCAUUCAGGUCUUGUCCUCAAUUUGAACCUAUUGGACAAUCCCAGAGCCCCAUGAGACAUGUACUGCUGGGGCUUCCCUUGAUCAAAGAGGGAGCUAAGGUGCACUUUUCAGGGCUUUUCCAAGGUCACCUUGGCUGGUGAGCAGUACAAGUUAUGAGUCCAGACAUGGCUGCCAGGUUUGCACUCUUACUUUCUUUUAUAAUCUAUUGUAAGAGGGAGACAGCCAAGAAACAAAUAUACAAGUAAACACCUAAUAUAAUGUAACAUAAUAUUUCAUGCCAGGAUAUACAAUAGAAUAUUCUGUAGCACAACAUGGUAUCGCAUCAUAUUGGGGCAGGCACUGGUAAGCAGUCCAUCUUUGUGUCCAUCCCAAGAGCAUUUAUUGUGAGUGUGGCUCAAGGAGGUGUGUGCCUGUUGGCUGGCUGGUGAAUAACUCAUUUUAUGUGCACAGUGUGAACCUUUGAUCGCAAAUCCUUGUUUCUUCCAUAGAAACAUCAUCAUUGUAUAUUAUAUAUUCAUCAUCAUUAUAUAUUAUAUAUUUCUGUGAUUGUUUCUAUCUCACAAGAAGAACAAAUGGUUAAAGUUCAAGGAAAAAGCAGGUGAGCUGGAAUUUCUAGAACUAUAGCUGUGGGUGUUUAAAGAUAUCGGACGGACCUGUGUCCCUGAGACUCUCUUCUUGGACACUCUUGGAGGAAACGAUCUGAGGAAAUCUGUUUGACAGGUAGAAAAGGAGGUAGGUGGCAAAUGCAAAUGUUAAAGAGCUUUUGAACUUAAUCUCCCCCUCCUCUCUUUUAAAAGCAUGCUCUGGAGUUUUGGGGAAUUUCCAUGACAGUCUCUAAAUUGGUGUUUGCACCACACAAGCAGGCAUUGGGCCUUUUGCAGGGUUUGGGCGAGUGUUCAAGUGCACAGGGUGAGCUGAGAGGUGGAGGUUUGGGGUUUUAUUAAUAAUGAAGCAUAGUCACCCUUCUGCCUUCUCAAGGCACGGAUACUAAGUGAGCAAAUAACCUUGAGCUCCUCUCCUCACUCUUGUCUCCCAACUUGCAGCCCAGCGAUACAUAAUUUAAUCAGAUCAUAAAGCAAUUAUAAAAAUGCCCUGAAAUGAUGUGCACACGUUCACAUCUGUAAUCAGAAUGGCUAACAUCUCCCUCCCUCCACCACCAUGGUGUAAUCCUGGUGUGAUUUCAGUUCCAUGGAGGUGACUAAGAGUCUAGUCAUUAAUGCAACGCCCACAAACUUUAUUGGAAUAUACCGUCAGAAAAAAAUCUGUUUUUAAAAACUGCACGGGCUGAAUGCAGCUGCAAGUGCCAGUCCCUCUUAGCCAUUGCACCGGCCGUUUUCAUUGUUGGAAACCCUUUCAAAACUGUGCACCAACGAGAGGUUGCUGUCCCUUUCCUACAUCUCAGGGAAGGUGCGUUUGGUAUAAAGUUAUUUGAUAGAGGAAUUAGGCUUCUAGAAGCUCUCAAAUUACUGCCUAGAUUUUCACCUUGCCAACAGUAUUGGGAUGAUUUGGUUGUGGUGAUGUUGAAGACGUGGAGAAGGAGGAAGAGGAAGAAGAGGAGGAGGAGGAGGAGUCUAUAGAACAUGCAUGAUCCAGCAGUGAUUCAAAUACAGAAUUUGGGAAAAUUUUGGCAAGACAAAUGCUCUAGUUUCUUCAAUAAAUAAGUGACCUGUAAAAAGAAGGAGGAGAAGAGAGACCUACCAGAGGUUUAAAGAGAUCUUCUUUUAGGUCUAAAAGAAGUUACUGGAACCCAGAGACGUUGCAACAGUCAUGUGAAAGCUGGCUGGCAGGGGAUGUGAGGGGCGUGUAUUAGUUCUCUCUUAUCUGUGGUUUUGCUUUCCCUAGUUUGUUAUUUGUGGUCAAAUGUAGUACAAAAAUAUUAAAUGGAAACUUGCAGAAAUGAAGCAUUCAUAAGUUUUAAGUUGCACACCAUUCUGAGUAGCAUUAGGAAAUCUUGAGCUAACCUUCUUCAGCCUACCCAGAAUGUGAGUCACUCUCUGUUUAGUGUAAUCAUGCUGUAUAGGCUACCUGCCCAUUAGUCACCUAAUAGCCAUCUUGGUUAGCAGAUCAAGUGUCUCAAUAUUGAGUACUUGUGUAUAGGGUUCAGGACUGGUUGCAGGUGUCCACUGGGGGAUUUGGAACAGAUACCCCUCAGAUAAAAGGUGGUAACAGCACUGUGUUUUUCAUCUGUCCCCCAAAGUACCUGUCAUUCCAGCAUGGUGACUGAGGUACCAUGCUGACUGAGGUACCCAAGCAGGUACUUCUUUUAUUUCUUAUUUUUUUUUUCUGGGGGUGUACCAGGGAUUGAACUCAGGGGCACUUGACCACUGAGACACAUCCCCAGCCCUAUUUUGUAUUUUAUUCAGAGAUAGGGUCUCACUGAGUUGCUUAGUGCCUCAUUUUGUUGAGGCUGGCUUUGAUCUUGUGAUCCUCCUGCCUCAGCUCCUGAGCCACUGGGAUUACAGGCGUGUGCGGCUGCACCUGGCUGGCGCUUCCUUGCUUGGGCUUCACUUUCAGCCUGGCUGACCCAGAAUUCCUCUGGGUAAAGCCCCUUCCUCCAGAGGCUUCUUUGACUGGUUCUCCCUCACCAAAUGAUGAUCCCCACCUGGCUGGCAGGGACCCUGGCAUGGCAUUUGUGAUUGGACAUUGUAAUUAUGUACAUAUUUCAAUGUUUACAAAUGGGAGGUAGCUGUAGAUUCACACUCACCAUAAAGAAUAACGCGCAGAUCCUGUGCACCUUGAGCCAACCUCUCCCAGAGCUGACACCUUACAUGACAGGAGUGAAAGAGCAGAGUUGGGAAGCCACGUGGUUACAAUCACUACCUUAUAUGAGUUUCACCAGGUUUACCUGCACUUGUUGUUAGUGUGUGUGUAUGUAUGUGCAUAUGUGUGUGUGUGUAUGCAUGUGUGUGUGAGCACCUUGCCCUCCAGGGAAUCUCAUCAUGUGUGUAGGUUUCUGGGACCACAGCCACCAAGUCAAGGUGCAGAGCAUUUCCAGCACAAGGGUUCCUUGUGAUGCCCUUCGAGGUUGUCUUUUAGCCUGCCUGCUUCUCCUGGGACUCUGAGUGUCUUCAAGCAGGGCCUUAGGUUCAGUCCUGGUGUCCUGGUCCGGUUAACGUUAGCCAGCGUCUGGCUCCCAAGUGAUUCUGUAUAAAUGCUUACGGAGUAGAUCCAGAUUCUGCCGCAGAAGGAGAGUAGGAAAUGAGAAUUCUUUUAGAUAAAUGUUGGUGGAAAGAGCAAGAAAAAAUAACCCCAGGCAUGGAGUACAAAGGAGGCGCAGUAUUGGGGCAUCUUUUCCCUCUGCAAAGGAUCGCCUAGAUCCUGGCAGCAACAAUGGGUUCGUACAAUCUUAACAAAGCACUUGCUCCUGUGGUCCAAAUGGAAACCUGCUUCCAGAGAGGUACAGAGUGCUUUGUGAGGUCAGAUAUGAACACCAAACUUUGAUUCUGUGGUCUCAGUUUGAUCCCUUCUGUAUCACUUUUCCAGGAACAUGGGGGCUCUGCAGCUAAUCCACUGGGACAUCUUGACCCAUGACCAGCUUUUCCUCCGCGACGCUUCACCUCAACAGGAGCCAGCCUCCCUGGGGCUCGUGGUGAUUCCAGCCAUGGGCCACAUCAGGCCUCGUAGGGACAGUGACUCGAGCAUUGAGUGUAUAGUAAGAGUCUUGGGUUUCUCAUCUCUAGACCACCUCAGGAUAGAUCUGGAAGGAGGGAUGCCUUCCCUCAUUGGCUCCUGGCCCCACUCUAAUGGCAGAGGUUUCAGAGAACAUCUUAGACCAGUGUGCUCCUCAGGUGCACAGUCAUGAACCUCAUCGAUGCAUGAUGCCUCCCCGAGACCUUGGGAUCCCUCGGAUUUGGUGAAUUAAGGAACAGCGAACUGUGUCAGAUGAUGUGGAAUUCCCCACCAGCCCACAUCUUGGAAGGGCAGUGACCGGCUGCCCAGAACUGACAUCACAGGGUCAGAUCUUCAUUGGUGGAAUCUCAUCACAUAUCAGGCUUUGUGGUGGGUAGUCUGUGGGGUAAGAGAAAAAAAGAGUCCUGUUUCCCAUCCACAUAUGAUUUCCUCUGUCCCUCCAUCCAUCAUCUCCCAUCCCUCCAUCUGUCUGUGCACUCAUCCAUCUAACAUCCUUCUGUCCCUCUGUCCACCUGCUCCUUCAUCUGUUCAUUCAUCCAUUUUUAUGUUCAUUCCCAUUUGGGUUUUUAGUAGCUCCAGGGGACGUGUGAAAAGACAUUGAGCAAGAGUAGCUUUUGGACUUCCUUGCAUUAUCGUCCAGACACUAAUGUGUUUUUGCUUCUUAGACACAACAAGAACGCCAGUCCUUUAGAAUACAUAUAGAACUGCUCAUUGGAGACAAGAGAAAAGUCACUUGUCCUGUGUUAACUAAGAAAUAAACUGGGAAAUAUGAAUAGAAAGUUGAGCUGUUGUGAACAGGAUGCUCUUUCUGCUUUCAUAGCACUUAAUAGAAUUUGUUUUCUAGUGUCCAGAAGCAAAAAUUUCAUGGGAUGGGUAUGUAUAUGUGUGUUUAUUUGUAUGUAUAGACAUAUACGUAUAUACACACACAUAUACAGAGAGAGGCAUAUGUGUAUGUGGGUCUAUAUAUUAUUAUAUAUCUAUCUUCACUGGCAUCUGUUGAGAUCUCGGGGGCAUCUACUCAUAUCAAAUGGAAUGUACUGAUUAUUUGGUCUCACCUGUGGAGAAUUAAAGAUUUCACAGGUUUUACGGGCACGGGCACAUCUUAUGAAUGAAAGUCCGGGUCAGCAGGCUCAUUCCCAUUGGUCUUCCCAUUGCUCCAUGAGAAUCAACUUAUCUGCACAGAAUCAAACAUUCUUUUAAAGGUCUACAGGUGUAUUUGACACCUGGCAGAGGGACUAGGGUGCUCGCCUGAAACAACAGAGUUAUCACAUGAACUUGGAAUGAACGCUUCAUUAUUCUAGAAAUAAAAUAAUACUCCAUUAUUCUAGAAAUGAAAUUCGACUGUUCACCUGUUUUCUUCCAAUACAGUGACCUAUACUAAUAAAAAAUGCCCAUAUUGCCAAAUUCUGGGAUAUAUGGAUUUUUCACAAAAUUCUUAUGUUUUGCAAACAGAAGUCGAGAAAAGGAGGAGGGGGAGGAGGAGGAGGAGGAGGAGGAGGAGGAGGAGGAGACCAGGGAAAGGGCAGGAGUGGAGGUACAGGGACAUGAAGCCAGGGCUGGCCCUACUCAUGCAGAUUCCUGCAGGAACAGAGCGGAGACACUGGAGGGAAUGAGAGACGUCCACAGAGCGGGUCAGGGCCUGUCCUGCUUUGACCUUCACAGGAUGGAGCUGUUAAGGCCGGACCUGAGGCACCUGUCCUGACUUCAGUGUUAUGGAGUCAAAGAAUACCUACUUAGCACAGUUUCAGGGACUGGGCUUCUUUCAUUGCUCUGAGGGAGUCUGUGCCUCCUCUUAACUAAGCCUCUGACUGUUCUGGAUCUCUCUGUGGGUCCCCAGGUGGAUACAAUGUCCGGGGGAGUUGGAGAGACCCACUGUGGCCCUCUGGGUUUGUGUUUCCUCAUUAUCUGUAAAAUGUCGGCACUGUCCUAAAGGGUCCCUGAACCUUAGUAGUCUACGCUUCUGUGCACACACGCGUAUUCUUCAAGUUAGUUCUCGUGGCAAGGUGUACCCGUGUCUUGGCACAGUCACUGGCACGUGGCAGCCCCUGAGAGUGACGUUUGGUUUUCUUCUUGUUCCCAUCUCAGGAGGCCCAACAUCUCUGCUGAUAUUUCAACAGUUUCAGUGGAAUCAUCCAGCAACCUCUGUGUUGCCAUUAUAGCUGCACACUCUUCUGGACAGUGCUUGGGGAUUUCCGUGAGGAAAGAAGAAGUCUUGCUCAAGCCCUGGUGAGGUAGACAGGACCUGGAAGUCUCCAACUCUCCUGACUUUGUGCUCUUCCUACCACCUGCACGGCCUCUCUUCCUCAUCCUGCAUGAGCUGCGAUUCACUUGCAUCUCGGGGAGGCUCCUUGACAGCGGGGACCUGGGAAGAGAUUGGCACCUGGGCUAUCCAGGUAGGUGCAGCCACUGCCCCUGCUACUACCCUCCGCUCACUGAGAGAAUUCACAGAAACGUGUGACUCGGCUUGUUUUUCUUCUAAGAACCGGAGGUGAAUGCUUGCUCCUUGGAGGAAGUUCUGUGGCUCAGAGAGAGAGAAACCAGAUCAUAUGCCAAAGUGACCUUUCUCCCCAACUGUCGCGCAACACACAAAGCUAAUUAGCCAGGUUCUAAUUGGGUUGAAGUCUGAGAGUCCUGGGGAAAGUGGCUCCGCGAAGAGGACACAGUCUGCAGGGUCCCCGCUUGGGCCUGUUCUCCCUCGGUGACUUGUGUAUUAAAUUGGUUGAGUUUACUGGCCACAAGCUGGGUUUUCAGAUGGGAUGGCUUGGCAGCCAGCCCCUUGGAACCUCUGAGCCUAGCUGCGGUUUCUAGUCAGCAUCCUGGAAGUCGGGAUGGGCCGGGAUGGCCGGGAUGGCCGGGGCGACCGUGGCUGUGAGUUCUUCUUGCAUGCAACCACCGUGUCCUUGCCUGAGCGGGAAGACAAAUUCACACAACGGGGAGUGGCCACAUGUGGAGGCAGUGGGUACACCCAGGCUUGCAGGAGAACCGACGUGAGGCGGAAACCUGGGCUGUGGGGGCUCACUGAGGGGGCUGUGCCAUGGCUGAGGAGCCUGGAGCUCAGACCAGCGUGCGGUGAGCCUCCACCCACACCAAGAAGCCAAGAUGUGGCACAGGGCAGGGCGCAGGCUUGGGAAACAAAGCCUGCCUCCUCGCUGACCCCCUGAUGGGAAGCAGGCCAGCACCAGGCUCUGGUCAAGGGCCCAGGGACACCAAAGCCACUUGGCUUCGGACUUGAGGGCUAACCUAAGCUUUGCGCAAUGCCAAGAGAGCAAUCCCGCUCCUUUAAUUCCAGUGCAGACCUUGGAUAAUGUGGGAAGGUAAAGAAAAGGAAAUCACGAGCCAGGUCGCGCGCUUUAUUUUCCGGUAGCUCCCAGGCGUGGUUCACAGGGCCAUCACGUCUUAGUACACACAGGUGGCGUGCGCUGCGUUACUCAAUGGCAGGCACCUCGUGACCCUUCUGCACGAAUCCAGGAGUGAGAAGACGGGGCAGGGAAUGUGAAAGAGAAGAGCAAAGGGAGCAGCUGGCCCUGGAGACAGUGACCAGACAGGACGUCCAACCUGGUGUCGCCCCACCGCAGGGGUUCACUGGGGGUGGAACUUCUUUUGGGGAGCUGUGUGUGUCAUGUGCCUGCUUCCAGAGGGCCAAGGGCGUUCCUACUCCCAAGGCCCCUUCAGAGACACUUCAACACCCUGACCACCUCCUCGUCCACUAAAGCUUCCCAGCCCACCCUGGACACUUUCGUUACGGAGUCGAUCACUGACUAUUCGUUCCUCGUUUUCUCCAUCUGUCUGUGAGAUCUUUGAGGGCUUGGAUGGUGUCUUACCUUCACACCCCCAAGAGAGCAGAGUUGCCAGCGGUUAUAACGUGAAUGACUAGAUGAGGAAGGAAGUCAGUCAGUCUGGAAAUCAGAGCUGCUGUGCAGGAAAGAGACCCUGCCCCUAGGGUGGUCCCCGGGACGGUCCCUGGGACCAGAGAGCGAAGACCUUGUCUCAAGAUUCCAUGAGAAAGGCCAACCCGUGCUUCCGCCUGCUCAUUAUUUAUCACAAUCACUUAAACCAGCUCAAAGCCCUCCUCUCCCCAAAAGGACCCAAGGAAAAGUUGACAUCUAAUGUCGGUGAGUUACAUGAGUUACGUGUUCCUGGGUCAGUCGACUAGACGUCUUUCUUUCUUUUCUCUUUGUUUUUCUUUUCUAUUUUCAUUUCUUAUCAGCACAAAAGAAUGUUCUUUUGUUUUUGAUUUUACCAGAAGUCACACUUGGGUGUGGAUGAAGAGUCAAGAUAAGUUUCUUAGUAAAGGAAGCACCACGAUUCUCUGCCUGUGCGUUGAAGGUGGCCUGGGGAAGCCCGCUGUCUCAAGGGGACCACAUCCUUUCCAUGAAACGCCCGCCCGUCUCCAGGCUCUGCCCACCCCAGCCUGCUCACCUGCAUCCAGUCUUUGGCAAUCGAGAGUGAAAAGGUCAACAACCAAAAGUUUUCAAGCCUCCCUAGAAGAAACAGCCUCCUCUUUCCAUUACGUUUCAAUUAGAAGAAAAAGGCAGAUUUUGAGGAAAUGAGCCCAUGGGAAGGGGAUAAUAGGAAAGAGCUGCGAGGCACAGAAGCAGCCUCCUCCGUGGAGAGCUAGGCAGGCAGCCUUCACUACUCUCCCCUCCAUCAGUCCCCAAGCCCCAAGUGGCCCAGCUGAGGUCAACCUGAGCUCCUUGCCACUGUAGGGCAUUUACCCCCUUUUCUGAAAAACAGCUUUGUUGGGAUAUAAUUCGGAAAACAGGCACUUCUCCCCCGGGAAGCGCACAAGCCAUGGAUUUUACUGUAUCCGCAAGAUCAUGAGCCAUCAUUUCUGUCUAAACCCAGAACCUCCUCGUCACACCCCCUGCAACUCUCCUGACCAUCAGUGGUCACUAUCUUCUCCUCCCUGGCCCCUGGCAACCACCCAUCAACCAUCAGGGUCUAUAGAUGUGUCCAUUCUGGACAUUUCGUAUGAGUGGGAUUGUAUAAUGCGUGGUCCUUCGUGCCUCUUCCACUCAGCAAGACGCUUCUGAGAUUUAUCUCCAUGUUGUAGUGUGCAUUAGCACCUGUUUCUUUACAUGGCUGAAUACUAUUCCACUUUAUAUGUGCAACUCACUUUAUUCAUCUGUUCGUCUCCCUCCCACUCCAUCCCUUCUCAGCUCUGAAGACUGACCCCAGGGCCUUGUAUGGGCUAAGCACCUGCUCUGUCUCUGAGCUAUACCCUUAGCCUAUCUGUUCCUCUCUUGAUGGUCAUUUGGAUGUUCCUGCUUUUGGCUAUUUGGCGUCAUCGGCUGUGAACAUUCAUAUACAAGCUUUUGUGGGGUUGUGCUUUCAUUUCUCUUGGGCAUGUUUAAGAGUGAACUUGCUGGGUCACAAAAAGCCAAGUUUAAUCAUUUGAGAAACGGCCUGUUUUCCGUCUCCUCUGUCUUCCCACCCUGGACCACACAAUGGCCCCUUCACUCUUGUCUUUUGCUCCAGCCGUGUCCUCUCCUUCUGCUCAGGUGUCCUCACCCCAUGUCAGGGAACACAGUCCAGCGGCACCCUGGAGAGCCGGGGUGGUGAACGGGAAGGACAAGGGGUUGCCUCAGGAGCUGGCAUUGGGACAGCUGCUGGCCGGGGUUCCCCAGCGGCUGCAGUCGGCCACCACAGCCCCGAGGGCACAGCUCCUGCUGAGACCUAGAAGGGCACAGGGCUCUCGGGCCUGCUGCGCCUCGAGUCACUCUGGUCUUCCUGGGACACUCUUUACUGAGCUGAGCCGUGGCACAACCCAUUUAUUUUAAAAUCUGCGUAGAGCAGGCCAUUUUCCUCAGAGGUGGCCAAGUGAAUUUGUGAAUGAACGGAGUUCAAUAUGGUCAAUAAAUUAACUUGCUUCAAGUCACAGGGCGGGAUGAUGGCAGAGUCCCCACCAGAUUCUCCUAUCAAAGAUCUUUCUGUUUGGUUUUUAAUCUCUCCUCUUAAUUGGUGAUCAAAUGAGUGAAGCUGCAUUGUAGAUUCUCUUCCACCACUAAGUUGGGGAUUUUCCUCCUCCGUAGGGCUGACAUUUGGGGCCUCAGAGUCCACCGUGGGGACCUCCCUGGGCACUGCAGGCUAUUUGGCAACACCCCUGCCCUCUGAUCACUGGGUAUUGAUAGUGGCCUCCUUUGCCCCGAGGUCAUGACAACCCAAAAUGUGUCCAGAUUUUGCCAAAUGUCCCCUGGGGGAAAAAAUGGCCCAGUGGAGAACCACCAUCGUGUGACAAACUCGAUGUAGAGAGUGGCCAAGGGCAUUGCCCACUCUCUGCCCAUCAUAGAAAGAGUUUUAGCCAAUUCCCCUUUAACAGAGCAGGAAAUUAGACAAAUGUAAAUUUAGAAGGAAUUUUAACAAUAAAUUUAGAAUCCAAAAGGGUUUUACAAGCAAUUUGCCGUUAAUGAGGGUAUUUAGUUGACCAGAUUCCCUACUUUUUUAGAAUUUUGGUUAAUAAGUAUCAGCUUUAUGGGAUUCCCAAGUACCCUGGGUUAGGCAGGCUGUGGGGUCCUGCCCAUUAAGGAGACAUUUUCUCAAAGUCUUUUUUGGGUUGCUUGGCUCAGACUUUCACCCAGGAUCAGAACUUCAGGUGAGUCAUGGUAACAGGAAGGGUGGGGGGAGAGACUGUUAGAACCAGAGGCCCCACGACAAACGUGGUCCAUUUUUAAGGGCUUGAUGUUAAUUUCUAGAACAUUCUGUCAACAUCAGCCUUGAACCGAGCCUGAGAUGCAGACAUGAACACAGUUGCUCGGAGCCAGUGUGACUUUCAGGGUCUGGGAUGCUCCCUGGCUUUUGCAGUGGGUGGGACUGGAGACCUCAUUAGUAAACUCCUGUUAAAAUGUGAGUCCUCUUAGCUGGAUAUAUCCAAAUACAAGAUGUAUCUUUCCCCGCUGGCAGAAUCAAUAAAUUUGCACGAUGCACAUUAAAUGUUUAAUUAAAGCUCAAUGUGCAAGCAUUUUCGGGAAGUUAUAAAAGCCCUCUGCAGGAGGCCUGGAAGCUAGGGGUGCCUGUGGAUUUGCCAGGGCUCCAUCCAUCAGUCACCAGGGGCCACUUCCUUCCGAUGCUGUUUUGUAUGUGAGUUAUGUUGCAUGUCUCAAAGCUGAUGAUGAACGUAUGACCAUGUUCGGGUGACCCCCAAGAUUACAAACACAGGAGCCUUCAGGAGCAAAACAGGUGGCCAGAAUCUCCCUCCUGCCAGCAUUGACACUGACCCCUCUACAAGGAAGGGGAACUGGAGGCUCUGCACAAGGCCCAUGCUGGGGGAACAGAAGGAUUCCAAGAGCAAUUUGAAGCUGCAAGGGGAAAGUGUGAGAGACGGAAUUGCACUCCUUUGGCUCUCCUUGCCAGAGAGAGUGCCCGGGUCUUGGAGCUGGAUGCAUUCCCGAGCAAGAUGCCAGGCUCAGAUGAUGCACCCUGGGCGCUCUUGCACCGUGGGAUGGAGCCUUAUUUAGUAGCUGUAUUAAUUGAACCCUCACGCUGUGUGGCUUGGUGGAGUUCACAUCAGAACAUCUCCUCGCCGCUGGAGAUGUCCCUUCCUGAGUUCCUUCGCCCUCCAGAUCGGAGCUCUUCCUGGCUGAUUUUGUUUUUCAUUCACCUUUGCCCAGGCGUUCCCUGAGUGUCUGUGAAUGGUGCAGCUGUUUGUCCCGAUCUUUACCUUUAUUGAGCAUCUAUUCAGUGUCAGCCACCACAGUAAGUGAUUUACCCGCAACAUCUUCUUCAACCUCCACGGGCGCCCCAGGAGGUGGGAUGGGUGACUUCCCACACCCUGUGUUUGUCUCUCUGCUGGCUUUUCUACCUUUUCCUGGUAGCCCUGGUUUCUUCUACCUCCUUCUUCUUUUUCUUUUCCCUUCCCUUUGUCCUUAACCAACUCCACCUUGGAAGGGUAAAUGUCGUCAUUUGACUGCACAUUCUAGUGUCUUCUUGAAUUUAAAAAUCUGGUCCCUGACUCUGUUCCAGCCUCAGUUUGAGCCACACCCUCGGGGCUUCCCAUAUUCCAGCCACACACACCAGCUUUCUUUUCUGCUUCUCCAUGCUCUUUCCCACCCCAGGGCCUUUGCACACGUUUUUUGCUCUCUUCCACUGUAAUUCUCUUUAAUCUUAUUUGCUUAGUUAACGCCAUACACCCAGUACCAUCUUUGUGUAGCUUGUGGGCUAAGAAUGUUUUUGUGUUUUAAGGAGUUUGUUUGUUUGUUUAGAAGAAAAAGAAGGAGAAAGAAGAGAAGGAAAUAAGGAGAGGAGAAGGAGAAGCCUCAGCGGUAGCAGCACUCGUAUACUGCAUGGUCCAUGACACUUACGAUGGCUUGCUCUCCGGCCCUUACAGGAGAUGUCUGCAGCUUUCAUAGAGAUCCUGGGUCCAAGCGGGUAACUCCACAGGCAGGGAUGUUUCUGCCUGGUUCAUCCUUUGCCCCAAAUGCCCAGUUCAAAGCCUCUCACAAAGCAGGCGCUCAAUAACUUGGUGAGAUGGAAGAAUGACUGAAGAGUCCUCAUCUUCCCUCCUUUGCGCUUCCCUAAGCGGCAGGAGCCCGCCAGAGCGCUCAGGCUCCACCAAUAGCCGAGGACCCUUCUGCAGCCUGGGCCCCCAGUGCCGCCCCUGCUCAUGGAGUCUGCACUGGGCCUCGCCCCACUUGUGCGCAUUCCCCCACAUUCCUCCUCCUCGUCCUGGGAAAUCUCGUUGGUCACCAGGUCUCAGCUCAAUUCCCGUCUCCCCGGGGAAUUUUUCUCUGAGCCUCAAGAAAGCCUGGAUGGUGUUUCUUCCUGCUCCACACCUCUUUGGCCUACUUGUACCCAAACUCUGACGCCUCCGUCUCGUAAUUGCUUUUUGGAGUGUUUCUCUCUCCGUCAGGUGCGGGGUGCCGGGGGACAAGGAUGCUGCUGCUGUUCAUCUUGCAUUCCUGCACCCGCGAUGAUCCGCAGCCCACAUCGGGCACUCAGAGACGUGUCGGAUGGACAGGUGGAGUGGAUGGACGGAUGAAUGAGCAGGGGGGAUGAUUGAAGGCCAAAAGCCAUUCCCCUUCACCGGUGUGUCGGGAAAGGAAUCAGAGGUUGGUUUUUAAACACAUCUAAAACUCUUUUUGUGUUACCAAUGUCAAGAUGUGCUUGGCACGUACCUUUAUGACUCGUGGCUGAUUUACAGAAGAGUUGUUUUAUUCCUUAAUUCCAAUGCAGGUGGCUUUCGGGGCUCCUUGGCCUGCCUGUGACUGGCUCCCAAGUGCUGUGGAAGACUGUUGGGGGGCGGGGGAACACCUGCUCGAUCUGAGUUCAAAACUUGCAGCGAGGUGCAAUCCAAGCAGGCAGAGAACUGGUAGGGAAUACCUGGGAAUUCAUCCUCUUCAGGGUGGUGUGAGCAUCAUGGGUUUGUAAUUCAUUUAUUUUUCUAUUUUAAUUUAUGGAACUAUUGUCCUAAUAUUAUUUGGCCAAUAAAGAAAAUAGAUAUCUGGUCGUUGGAGGCAUCUCUGCUUGGAUCCUUGGAUUGCAAAUCAGUAAUAAGAGGAAGGACAUUUUUUCAAGCCUGUGUCUGAGAAGUUGGAGGUAUCAGCAUACAG
rnacentral:lncRNA from 1 species